CAUCGCGAGGAGGAAUCUGAAGGAAGGUGUAGGCAAACCUCCGGACUGAUGAACAGAAAUUACAUAUAAGGCCGUAAACAAGGAUAAGGCUGCAAUGCAAGUCGAAGUCCAAAAACUACCCGGAAUUGCUUUACGGUACAUGUGGCAGAUAGAUGCAUGUAACG
rnacentral:ncRNA from 1 species